rnacentral:rRNA from 1 species
UCAGCGACUUAUAUUCUGUAGCAAGGUUAACCGUAUAGGGGAGCCGUAGGGAAACCGAGUCUUAACCGGGCGUUAAGUUGCAGGGUAUAGACCCGAAACCCGGUGAUCUAGCCAUGGGCAGGUUGAAGGUUGGGUAACACUAACUGGAGGACCGAACCGACUAAUGUUGAAAAAUUAGCGGAUGACCUGUGGCUGGGGGUGAAAGGCCAAUCAAACCGGGAGAUAGCUGGUUCUCCCCGAAAGCUAUUUAGGUAGCGCCUCGUGAAUUCAUCUCCGGGGGUAGAGCACUGUUUCGGCUAGGGGGCCAUCCCGGCUUACCAACCCGAUGCAAACUGCGAAUACCGGAGAAUGUUAUCACGGGAGACACACGGCGGGUGCUAACGUCCGUCGUGAAGAGGGAAACAACCCAGACCGCCAGCUAAGGUCCCAAAGUCAUGGUUAAGUGGGAAACGAUGUGGGAAGGCCCAGACAGCCAGGAUGUUGGCUUAGAAGCAGCCAUCAUUUAAAGAAAGCGUAAUAGCUCACUGGUCGAGUCGGCCUGCGCGGAAGAUGUAACGGGGCUAAACCAUGCACCGAAGCUGCGGCAGCGACGCUGAUGCGUUGUUGGGUAGGGGAGCGUUCUGUAAGCCUGUGAAGGUGGCCUGUGAGGGUUGCUGGAGGUAUCAGAAGUGCGAAUGCUGACAUAAGUAACGAUAAAGCGGGUGAAAAGCCCGCUCGCCGGAAGACCAAGGGUUCCUGUCCAACGUUAAUCGGGGCAGGGUGAGUCGACCCCUAAGGCGAGGCCGAAAGGCGUAGUCGAUGGGAAACGGGUUAAUAUUCCCGUACUUGGUGUUACUGCGAAGGGGGGACGGAGAAGGCUAUGUUGGCCGGGCGACGGUUGUCCCGGUUUAAGCGUGUAGGUGUGUGUUCCAGGUAAAUCCGGUUCACUUUAACACUGAGGCGUGAUGACGAGGCACUACGGUGCUGAAGCAACAAAUGCCCUGCUUCCAGGAAAAGCCUCUAAGCAUCAGGUAACAUCAAAUCGUACCCCAAACCGACACAGGUGGUCAGGUAGAGAAUACCAAGGCGCUUGAGAGAACUCGGGUGAAGGAACUAGGCAAAAUGGUGCCGUAACUUCGGGAGAAGGCACGCUGACACGUAGGUGAAGUGAUUUACUCAUGGAGCUGAAGUCAGUCGAAGAUACCAGCUGGCUGCAACUGUUUAUUAAAAACACAGCACUGUGCAAACACGAAAGUGGACGUAUACGGUGUGACGCCUGCCCGGUGCCGGAAGGUUAAUUGAUGGGGUCAGCGCAAGCGAAGCUCCUGAUCGAAGCCCCGGUAAACGGCGGCCGUAACUAUAACGGUCCUAAGGUAGCGAAAUUCCUUGUCGGGUAAGUUCCGACCUGCACGAAUGGCGUAAUGAUGGCCAGGCUGUCUCCACCCGAGACUCAGUGAAAUUGAACUCGCUGUGAAGAUGCAGUGUACCCGCGGCAAGACGGAAAGACCCCGUGAACCUUUACUAUAGCUUGACACUGAACAUUGAGCCUUGAUGUGUAGGAUAGGUGGGAGGCUUUGAAGCGUGGACGCCAGUCUGCAUGGAGCCGGCCUUGAAAUACCACCCUUUAAUGUUUGAUGUUCUAACGUGGACCCGUGAUCCGGGUUGCGGACAGUGUCUGGUGGGUAGUUUGACUGGGGCGGUCUCCUCCUAAAGAGUAACGGAGGAGCACGAAGGUUGGCUAAUCCUGGUCGGACAUCAGGAGGUUAGUGCAAUGGCAUAAGCCAGCUUGACUGCGAGCGUGACGGCGCGAGCAGGUGCGAAAGCAGGUCAUAGUGAUCCGGUGGUUCUGAAUGGAAGGGCCAUCGCUCAACGGAUAAAAGGUACUCCGGGGAUAACAGGCUGAUACCGCCCAAGAGUUCAUAUCGACGGCGGUGUUUGGCACCUCGAUGUCGGCUCAUCACAUCCUGGGGCUGAAGUAGGUCCCAAGGGUAUGGCUGUUCGCCAUUUAAAGUGGUACGCGAGCUGGGUUUAGAACGUCGUGAGACAGUUCGGUCCCUAUCUGCCGUGGGCGCUGGAGAACUGAGGGGGGCUGCUCCUAGUACGAGAGGACCGGAGUGGACGCAUCACUGGUGUUCGGGUUGUCAUGCCAAUGGCACUGCCCGGUAGCUAAAUGCGGAAGAGAUAAGUGCUGAAAGCAUCUAAGCACGAAACUUGCCCCGAGAUGAGUUCUCCCUGAGACUUAGAGUCUCCUGAAGGAACGUUGAAGACGACGACGUUGAUAGGCCGGGUGUGUAAGCGCAGCGAUGCGUUGAGCUAACCGGUACUAAUGAACCGUGAGGCUUAACCUUACAACGCCGAAG